AAAAUCAUGUUGAAGGAACUCGGUAAAAUGACCCCGUAACUUCGGGAGAAGGGGUACUCUCUUAUUUUUCGAUUAGGAAAGCGGCACAUAUCGAGGGGGUAGCGAUUGUUUAUUAAAAGCACAGGACUCUGCGAAGUGGUAACUCGAUGUAUAAAGUCUAACACCUACCCAGUGUUGGAAGCUAAUAAUAAGGUCGAAAGGAGAAGUGUUAUAAGCUUUGAAUAGAAGCCCGGGUAAACAGCAGCAGUAACUCUAACUGUCCUAAUUAAAGUACCGAAAUUCCUUAUCGCAUAAGUAGCAACCUGUACGAAUGGUGUAACGAUUGCCCUGUUAUCUCCGACAUGAA
rnacentral:ncRNA from 1 species